GAUACCCUAUUAUUUUGAAUGUUAAGUGCUUAUCUUUAAUUAUUAAUAGCUAUGAUCUUUAAAGUUAAAAGAUUUGGCGGUAUUUUAGUCUGUUCAGAGGAACCUGUUCUUUAAUCGAUAAUCCACGAUUAUUCCUACUUUGAUUAGUAAAUUUAUAUAUCGUUGUUUAUAAAGAUUUUAGCAGAACUAUAAUUUUUAAGGUACGUUAUUACGUCUUAUUUCAGAUCAAGGUGUAGUUUAUAUAAAAGCUAGAAUGGGUUACAUUGUUUUUAUAUUUAGUCCCUUAGUUUAAAAUUUAGGGUAAAUUGGAUUUGAUAGUAAUUAUUAAAUAUUUAUUUAAUGAUUUAGCUCUAAAAUAUGCACACAUCGCC
rnacentral:rRNA from 1 species